UCGCUACUCUGCAUCCGCAGGCAGUUGGAGGCAUUCGUGCUCCAGAUCUGGCUCACAGCACCCGAACUAUCCCACUCUCCCCAGUACCCCAGUGUAUAAAGUGUAGGCACUUACACAGCGACAGGUUACAGAGAAAACUUCAGUCUGCCCCAGGUCCGCAGGAACACUCACUGGCAGCCCCAUCCACCGCCAUCUCGGCGCAAGUCCUAGGCUGGAAGACGUCACCCAAGCAUCAGGUCAGCAGUUGCCUGCAGCCUACUGGGUAAGAGCAGAAACAACGUUAGCAGACCUGGCAAGACAACAAGAGGCUAACAAUGCUCAGGAAAUGGGGCCACUACCAUCACAGUGAGAAGGUGGGCGCUGCGUGCCCCCUGAGGGCACUCUGUCACAAUGGAGCUGGGGGCCCACACAGAGCGUCCUGCUGUCCUGUUCCCAGGAGAGUCCCCUGCCUGGGGAGAGUCUGAUGCCAGAGCCAAAGACUCCGCAGCCCCAAGGUUGGCGGCAGGGGGAGCGACAGGUCAGGGCCACAGUCCCCGCUCCUUGUGGAGGACGAGGCUCAGCUCUAGGGAGGCCCAGUCUCUCUGGAGACACCGUGGAGCUGAAGCCAGAAUCUUCUCGAUGCUUCCCAUUCCCUGAACUCCAAGGUGCUGCCCUGGGCCCAUCUCACCAACACUGCAUUCCCUCCUGCAGCUGUGUAGUCAAGUUUACAAGGGGGUCCCAACCUAGCUGCAGGUACAGGUGUGGUUGCAUUUGCUGGAGAUUGAGAGGGUUAAAUCAGGAACCCAAGGAAAUACCAGAUAGGGCCCUUCCACUUUUGCAGAUGCAUCACCCUCAGGAGAGGCCUGGGAAGGAGCCAAGGGGAAUGUGAUGUGAGGAGGUCAUCUGCCUGGGGAUCCGUAGUGGCCCCAGCAUCUUCUGGUGCCUCUCCAACCCGAGGGCCCUGCCCACCUCCCUGCAGCCCCAACCUCAGUCCCACCAUCCAUGGAGGAGUUUCAGCCUGGGGUUCAGAGAGGGACAAGCCCACAGCACCCACCCCAUAGGGUUUCUGUUGGGCUGAGGGUCCUUAAACCCUGCCAACCCUGGCCUGGACGGCAUUCCUACUCUCUGAGAAGACCAGGUCCAUUCAGGGCUCAGAGGGCUGUGGGCAGACUGGGGUCAGGGCAUGGGGAAGGAGGCCUCUGCCAGGAUGUCACCCCCGCCUGCUUGGUGAAUGAGGAGACCCUGAUCUUUGGGGGCCUGAGGCCUUCUCAGGCUUCUUCAUUCCAGGGUUCCCCAAACUGCUGAGAUUCCAGGCCCAUCACGAGCACAUUCUAGAUAGAGCUCACCCCAAGCUGAAAAAGCACAUGACCCCCUUCUUCCUCACCCUGAAGCAUUGGGAUGCCUACAUCCUAGACGGGGAAUGCGUGCUCACAGCCAUGGCUUACAUGAUCUUCAAAGUGCACAGGAGAUCUGAGCGUUCCCCAUGAGGCCCCUGGGCCUGGAGUGAGUGUCCCCAGCACCUGAGCCUCUCCUCCCUUCUCCUACUGGUGAGACGUUGCCCAGAGCGGACGAGCUGGCCUCCCCAGGCCCAGCCACACAACCUGAGCAGUCUGGACCCCCUCCCGGCAAGGCCAUCCUCAAGGCCGAGGAGCUGCUGCAGGAGGGAAGCUCCCCAGAGCCCACGGCUGCACACCUCUGUCCAGGAACACUGGGGGCUCUGCUUCUGGCCCAGCUGUCCCCAGCCCAGGACCCCUCACUGCCCCGGCUGCCCCACAGUGAUGGAACUCCUGCCUCAUGGUCCCAGGGAACCAGGAGAGUGCAGUCAGAUGGCACUAGAACAUGGAUUCGAAGCCAGAACACUGGGUCCCCUUCUCUUUGGCACCUGCCUGGUCCAUACAAGAGGCCACACAGCAGAUCACACACUAGAAUCUCCCUGGGAUUCCAGUCAUGGAGUACACCAAAGUCACUAAGAUGACACUGUCAGGAGCAAGACACCCAUCCUGCACUGUGGCCAUAGCAGCUCAAGCCCCUCACUGGGCAGUGAUAGGCAGGGCCAGGCCAGAGCCAGGGCAGUGCUGAGUCCUGGGACCAUCUGACCUCCACCUCCACAGGGAACCUCGAUGCUUGUGGGCCUCUGGUGCAGUGCGUGAUGGUGGGGGUGGGGGCCCUGAGGCUCUGGCCAGCCGAGACCAUGCCCUGCCUCGUCUUACUGUCCUUCCUGUAGGGUGUCCACAUGCACACCUGGCAAAUACUCUGACCCAUUAUGACCUGGGCUGUAGGGAGGCAGUGUCAACAGGAACCCCUCUCUCCAGGCUCUGGGGAGGCAGUGUCAACAGGAACCCCACCAGGGUCAGAAUGAAGACUGAUGGGAUUGAGCCUCCCCUGGGUCUGACCAGUUCUGGAUUCUGCCCCAAGGCUCAGUGACCCUCUCAGAGCAGGAUGUGGCCUCCGGGGAAGUGGGUGUGCCCCACAAAUCUAGGUAUCUGACCUAGGACAGCACUGGGAAAAUAGGACACACCAGGGCAGGGGCAGCAGGGACAGGCUGCUGGGCCACACACUCACCCACACUAGGAGACAAGAUCCUCCACAUCCUGGGUCUCUAGCAGUCAAUCACCUGGACCAGUGGGCCAGGGGCCAGGGGCCAGCUGACCUGCUGAGACCCAGCGAGACCCAGGAACCCCUAAGCUGCAGGUCCAGGUCAGGUCUGCUGUCCUCAGAACUGACUCUCAGGCCCCAACCUCAGGACAUCUGCCCCCAUUCGGACUCCUCACAAUCUCCAAACUGGGGACUCUAGCACCCGAACUCCCAUGUGACUUCAGCUUUCCCCUAAAGGACAGGAAGGUCUCCUUCCCCAGGGGAAGGUGCCCACUCUCAGCUCCAAGCACUGAUUGCUGUUGAAAGUUCAAUGAAGUGUUGCAUUAAAAGGCACGGCCAUCCAAUUUCUGAGUCUUCCAGAGCUCUGCAAGAAUCGCGGACAGGCCCCAUAAAGGAGGAGGGGGCGCUGCCGAGGCCCCUGACCAGCCCCCUCCACAGGUGUCACCAGGGACACAAAGCUGACCUGCCCCCGUGCCUUACAAGGUCGGCCAACGCCAGGGGCAGGACAAUCUCAGACUUUUUGCUACUCAGCCCAUGCCCCGAGGGCCAGGAUGAGGCUGGGAGAGUGACAGCCGGGCCCGGUGGCCUCAGUUCACAAGGGUCUGGGCAAAGCGCCCUGGGAGGUCUGCACUCCUGUCCAGGGGGCCAGGACUGGCCAUGCUCCGGGGGCACUUUCAAAACUCCUCACACCCUGCCUGUGCUCCUGCAGAACAGAGAGCCAGAGGGACGAUUAGUGUGGCCCUGCAAGGGACAUCAGGACACCAGGCACUUACAGCUCAUGAUCCUGGGCCCUUUACUGGGCAGGCUUAGCUGGCACACCUUGUGCUACUGCAUUUUCUCCACCAGCAUGUGGAAGAAUCCUCGACAACCUAGAAGGUAGGGGCUGUGGGAGAGUGGGGCUCAGCCCAGGGGCAUGGCAGCAAGGGGACCGAAGGAACCCUACCCCCUGCUCACUCCAACUCCCACACACAGUCAGCCCCAGGGCUCCAGCCAUCGGGCAGUUUCCUCCUCAGGAGCUCACUGACAGGGGUUUCCCGACGUAUGACUCCAGCUUGAGAGGCAUCGAGGAAAGAGAGGCAGCUGGCACUCGGCUGGGACCCACUGUCAGACAUGUGAAUGUGGCCCAGGUGGGCCUUCAAACUCAGCUGACCCUCCAGCAGAGUCACUGCACGAACAAGCCCAGGGAUGACCAGGAGAGCCCAACUAGCCACCCAACGCCAGCAUCUGUAGUAAUAAACAUUGUGGUUUCAAGCCAGUUAGGUGUUAGGAUGACACAGCCCAAGGAUCACACCCGCACAGAGAGAAAGACAAACACACCCCAAAACGAACAAAUUUGGAGUCCCCCUCGAUGUCGUCAAACAGCGGCAGAAUGGUUACAUCCAUGAUGCUCAGAUCACUCGGGAGAACAGACUGAAGAUCCUACAAAUCAUGACUGCACAGAGGUGUUGUGGGCAUGGAGAUGUGCCUGCUGGGUUCUGACAAUGAGCAUGCAAAGUCGGCUACCAUAGGAAACAUCCUACAGAGGGUGGGCUCCCUCUUAGCAAAGGACACCAAAUCCCUUCGAAGACGACACAUAGUGACAUCUGUCCUUCUCUGUUUGUGGUUCUCCCCCUAUUUUGUUCUUCAUAAUACUACUUCAGCCUCCACCCUUCAUCCGAGCCAAUGACCAUACUGGCUUUUUUAGGACAUUGGGUCUUUCAAGGAGGCAGAGCUUUGCCUACCGGUUUCAGGAAUAAUUAUUGCCCAGGUUUAUGCUGAUCCACCUACCUCUUGCCUUCACAGCUCUUCUCUCCUUGAGAAUGAGAGGAAACACAGGUCUUACAAUGAAAGAAGCCCACUCCCACUCGGGCGAGACCUCCAGUAAUGGAAAUCGUCAUCUGGGCAAAGUAGUGAAAGCGGGAGCAAAUAAGAAUAGGUGGUAGGUUAGACAUAGUUUGGUUCGAGUAUUUUCCUCAAGCAAGUACCUACCUUCGAUGUCAAUUUUUAAAUCUUCAUCCACUUAUUAGUUUUUAAAUCUUUUCUUUUUAUGUAAUCUCUAUGCCCAGCAUGGAGUUCAAACUCACAAUCCUGACAUCAAGAUCCACCGAACAAGGCAGUCAGGCACCCCAGUGCCAUGUUUUAUAUCUCUCUGCUUGCUUGCCUAUCUCUGCAUCCUCUGAAACAUUGUGUCCAUGAUUGGGGAGCUUUAGCUACCUCCAAAUACCAGAACCUUCUGCUAUAUCCCAAUCCUAGAAUGAUGUUUGUUAUUGAAUAUCAUUUCAAACCAAUCGUCAGUAAAAUGACUACUGGUAAAGGAAAUUGUCAACUUUUAACGUGUUGGGCCCGGCUUCCUGGGCUCUCAGGGAAACUAUGCUUUCUUUAACAUUUCUCAAGUUCCAAAUUACUCCAUCAAACCUCAGAGUUUUGGCUCAAUUUCUGCCCUGACUCAGCUAUAUGUCUGUUUCAAUUAAUAGGUAUCAUUCCAUCAAAGGGAGCCUGGCCGGCUCAGUGUGGUUGGUAAAAACAAGUGACUCUUGAUCCUGGGGUAGUGACUUCAAGCCCCAUGUUCGGUGUAGAGAUAACAGAAAAAGAAAAUCUUUUAAAAAUCAAUCAGUCAGUUGAUCUCUAGAGACACAGCUCAGAUCCUACAGGGUCAGAGAGCCAGCUUACAGGUCUAUGCACAGGAUCAUAAGUAACAGCACAAAUUCAGAACAUUCAUAGUUGGCUAGCGUGGGGGACACACCAGCCUUAAUGGUGCUCAGGUGGCGAAGUCAGGGGCAGCCCCAGAAGCCAUAGGGUUUGCUUAGGGUCCCCUGGUUCAUAAGGACGGUGGCGUCAACUGUUCCCAGGCACAGGAGCGGGACACCGCGUGAGAGCAGUGGGUGUAGGGGCCAGCAUUCUGCCCUGUGUGGCCUGAUCUGCAACCCCUGUGCAGUCAUGGGACCGCUAUACUGGAGCAGAAGUGGGAGGCGACCCUCUGGGGCAGGAAGUGCAUAGGUCUCCACCAGGGAAGGCCCUAGAUUUUGAAGUUCUGAAACUUAGUCAAUUCUCUUAGAUAAGAAAAAAAAAAAUCCUUAGACACAGGCAGGGUGAACGCAGGAUUCUGACCUCCAGGGCCAGGGAAUCCAGGACCCCCACACUCAUCCCGCCCAUCAGCACUGAAAGUCCUCAGGGAGCAGCACAGCACCGCCUGCUGGAGGCCAGAGGCGCUUACACUGAGCUCAGCCUCUGAGCCCUGCAGGUGCAUCUCCACUAAGGCAAGUGCACACCUGGCAAUCAGGGGAACGGCCGCUCACACAUUGGCCUGCACAGACCACUGGCUCCCACCAAGAGAGCUGAUCAUAGAGGCCUGCAAGGCUUCAGCUCGAUGGGGAAAGUAGGAUCUAGCUUCCUUUAUACUUUGUUCUUUAUUAUUUUUCAUUUAUUUUUUCAAUUAUUUUUUAUUAAUUGCUCACUUUUAAUUAUUAUGUACAUACUUAUAUAUUUCUUAUUUUUGAUUACAUUCAUAGUAGUUGUAUUUUCAUUCUUAUUUUGGGAUCUACAUUCUACUAAUAAUUAAUAAGUAACAAGCAGGCCAGAACACGCCCAGGAUCUAGUUUUAGGGGGUUUUGUUGUUGUUGUUGUUUUCCCUGUUUUUUCUAUUUCUUUCUUCCUUCUUUUUUCGACAAUAAUGAGGUGGAGAAAUUCACCUCUGAAAAGAACAUGAGGUACUCCUCACAGCCAGGGAUUUAAUCAAUGCAGAUAUAAGUAAGAUGUCUGACUGGAAUUACAAACAAAGAGUAUAAGGUUAGUAGCUGGCUUGUAAAAAGAGUACACUAGACACUACACAAUCCCUUAAUGUAGAGACAAAAGAACUAAAAUCGAGUCAGGCAAGCAAUGAAAUAUGUAUAACUGAGUUGCAGUCCCAAGCAGACGCCAUAAAAACAGGAAACAUAAUGAACCACAGAGGCAGACUUAGGGAACUCAGUCACUUAUUAAAACAAUAACAUUCAUAUCGGGAGAACCCCAGGUGGCUCAUCGGUUUGGCACCUGCCAGCGGCCCAGGGCAUGAUCCUGGAUUCCGAGGAACUAGUGCUGCAUCAUGCUCUCUGCAUGGCGCCUACUUGUCCUUCUGCCUGUGUCCUUGCCUCCCUCUCCGUGUGUCUGUCAUGAAUAAAUAAUAAAAUAAAUUCUUAAAAAUAACAUUCAUAUCACAGUAGACUCAGAAGAUGAAGAGAG